rnacentral:sRNA from 1 species
CUUUAACUUUUCAGAUUCAAUAUAUUGCCCGCAAAAAUAUGCCUCAAUGAUUUAGCCAGGCAACCAAUCACCUCCAGAUGAUUAUAUAUACGAAUUACUACUCAAAAAAUCUUUUUUAUAAUAAAAGCUCAACACAUGGUCAUAAAUGAUAAAAAAUAUU